rnacentral:rRNA from 1 species
ACACUCCUACGGGAGGCAGCAGUGGGGAAUAUUGGACAAUGGGCGCAAGCCUGAUCCAGCCAUGCCGCGUGAGUGAUGAAGGCCCUAGGGUUGUAAAGCUCUUUCACCGGUGAAGAUAAUGACGGUAACCGGAGAAGAAGCCCCGGCUAACUUCGUGCCAGCAGCCGCGGUAAUACGAAGGGGGCUAGCGUUGUUCGGAUUUACUGGGCGUAAAGCGCACGUAGGCGGACUAUUAAGUCAGGGGUGAAAUCCCGGGGCUCAACCCCGGAACUGCCUUUGAUACUGGUAGUCUUGAGUUCGAGAGAGGUGAGUGGAAUUCCGAGUGUAGAGGUGAAAUUCGUAGAUAUUCGGAGGAACACCAGUGGCGAAGGCGGCUCACUGGCUCGAUACUGACGCUGAGGUGCGAAAGCGUGGGGAGCAAACAGGAUUAGAAACCCUAGUAGUCCG